rnacentral:rRNA from 1 species
AGGCCUAACACAUGCAAGUCGAGGGGCAUCAGAUCGAAAGCUUGCUUUUGAUGCUCGCGACCGGCGCACGGGUGAGUAAUGCGUAUCCAACCUUCCCUAUAGUAGAGAAUAGCCCGGCGAAAGUCGGAUUAAUGCUCUAUGUUGUAUUUAGAAGACAUCUGAAGAAUACCAAAGGUUUACCGCUAUAGGAUGGGGAUGCGUCUGAUUAGGUAGUAGGCGGGGUAACGGCCCACCUAGCCGACGAUCAGUAGGGGUUCUGAGAGGAAGGUCCCCCACAUUGGAACUGAGACACGGUCCAAACUCCUACGGGAGGCAGCAGUGAGGAAUAUUGGUCAAUGGACGGAAGUCUGAACCAGCCAAGUCGCGUGCGGGAUGAAGGCCCUCCGGGUCGUAAACCGCUUUAGCCGGGGAGUAACGUGCGGGUCGUGACCCGCAGUGAGAGUACCCGGAGAAUAAGCAUCGGCUAACUCCGUGCCCAGCAGCCGCGGUAAUACGGAGGAUGCGAGCGUUAUCCGGAUUUAUUGGGUUUAAAGGGUGCGCAGGCGGCCUGUCAAGUCAGCGGUCAAAUUUCGGCGCUCAACGCCGUACCGCCGUUGAAACUGGCAGUCUCGAGUGCGUGGGAGGAUGGCGGAAUGCGCGGUGUAGCGGUGAAAUGCAUAGAUAUCGCGCAGAACCCCGAUUGCGAAGGCAGCUGUCCAUCACGCCACUGACGCUCAUGCACGAAAGCGUGGGUAUCGAACAGGAUUAGAUACCCUGGUAGUCCACGCGGUAAACGAUGAUAACUAGUUAUCCGGCUAAAUUGGUAGCUGGGUGACCGAGCGAAAGCGUUAAGUUAUCCACCUGGGGAGUACGCCGGCAACGGUGAAACUCAAAGGAAUUGACGGGGGCCCGCACAAGCGGAGGAACAUGUGGUUUAAUUCGAUGAUACGCGAGGAACCUUACCCGGGCUCAAACGCAUCGCGCUACACCCUGAAAGGGGUGGUUCUUCGGACGCGAUGCGAGGUGCUGCAUGGUUGUCGUCAGCUCGUGCCGUGAGGUGUCGGCUUAAGUGCCAUAACGAGCGCAACCCCCAUCUUCAGUUGCCACCGGGUUAAGCCGGGCACUCUGGAGAGACUGCCGGCGCAAGCUGUGAGGAAGGCGGGGAUGACGUCAAAUCAGCACGGCCCUUACGUCCGGGGCGACACAUGUGUUACAAUGGCGGGGCACAGCGGGAAGCCAGGCGGCGACGCCGAGCUGAUCCCGAAAACCCGUCUCAGUUCGGAUCGGAGUCUGCAACCCGACUCCGUGAAGCUGGACUCGCUAGUAAUCGCGCAUCAGCCAUGGCGCGGUGAAUACGUUCCCGG